UAACCUCCGCAGGCUGGCGGGUCUCCUGGCUGGGCUGGGUGAGUACCUCUUUGAAAGGCUCACCCUUAAGCUUGACUAGGAGG
rnacentral:pre_miRNA from 1 species